AGAGCGAACGCUGGCGGCAGGCUUAACACAUGCAAGUCGAACGAACCCUUCGGGGUUAGUGGCGGACGGGUGAGUAACACGUGGGAACGUGCCUUUAGGUUCGGAACAACACAGGGAAACUUGUGCUAAUACCGGAUGUGCCCUUCGGGGGAAAGAUUUAUCGCCUUUAGAGCGGCCCGCGUCUGAUUAGCUUGUUGGUGGGUAAAGGCUCACCAAGGCUACGAUCAGUAGCU
rnacentral:rRNA from 1 species